GUGGGGAAUCUUGCGCAAUGGGCGAAAGCCUGACGCAGCCAUGCCGCGUGAAUGAUGAAGGUCUUAGGAUUGUAAAAUUCUUUCACCGGGGACGAUAAUGACGGUACCCGGAGAAGAAGCUCCGGCUAACUUCGUGCCAGCAGCCGCGGUAAUACGAAGGGGGCUAGCGAUGCUCGGAAUUACUGGGCGUAAAGGGCGCGUAGGCGGACAGCUUAGUCAGAGGUGAAAGCCCAGGGCUCAACCUUGGAAUUGCCUUUGAUACUGGCUGUCUUGAGUUUGGGAGAGGUGAGUGGAACUCCGAGUGUAGAGGUGAAAUUCGUAGAUAUUCGGAAGAACACCAGUGGCGAAGGCGACUCACUGGCCCAAUACUGACGCUGAGGCGCGAAAGCGUGGGGAGCAAACAGGAUUAGAUACCCUUGUAGUCC
rnacentral:rRNA from 1 species